CCUCCCCCUUCCGGGUACCUGGAAACCUCGGGCCCGGGAGCCAAUUCCUGCCGGGGACGCGGGCCCGGGCGGCCGCGGGAAAGCUAAGGAUACCACAUUAUAUUUAAUGUUCAUAUCUCCUGAGGUUCCUCUUGGCUGUGAUGAUUUUUCAUAUUUUCCUGGUUUUUGCCGGCCUCCAUGGUUUUGAAGAAUAACUGAGACAUGUCAAACAAGAUGAUGCUCUGGC